rnacentral:rRNA from 1 species
UACGUAGGGUGCGAGCGUUGUUCGGAAUUACUGGGCGUAAAGGGUGCGCAGGCGGCCGAGCAAGUCGAGUGUGAAAGCCCCGAGCUUAACUUGGGAACUGCGCUCGAAACUACUUGGCUAGAGUGUGGCAGAGGGAGGUGGAAUUCCACGUGUAGCGGUGAAAUGCGUAGAGAUGUGGAGGAACACCGAUGGCGAAGGCAGCCUCCUGGGCCAACACUGACGCUCAUGCACGAAAGCGUGGGGAGCAAACAGG